CUCUUAGACCUCAUUUAAGGGCUGACUGCCACUGAGGAAGGAUUUCUUUCUGGAGAUCUCUCCUUGGUGAAGUUUUCCCCUGCAAACCUAGAAUCUUCUGAUAUAGCAGUAGUGAGGCCCUUCCUUGGCCAUGGCCAUCUGCUGCAGCCAGGAGACGGAUCCCAGGUUCCUGUAGCACCCUCCUGCUUCCAGCAGCACAAACAGAGCCAGGAUGCAGCACCUCCCGAAGCAGCCUGUGAACACCUCCUCUCCAGAAACUGCUUCCUACUGGCUUAUGCAAUGAGUUGUUUCCAUGAGCGUGGGUACACGUGCAAGGGAGAAGGAGAGCAAAAAGAAAUAUUUAGCGUGGUGUAGCAGUGGCUGAGCUGGACCCAGGCUCCCGCUGCUGUUCCUAUAUGCUUUCUGUGGGCUUCAUCAGGGCAGGCAGUGAGCUCAUCCCAUCCAUGCUCCUUGUCACCGCUAUUCCUCCUUCCUCCAGCAGCCACUGCUGUUCCGUAGAGAAAGGUGGUAGUGAAGGUGUUCAUUCCCGGCUGAAGUUCAACACACCUUUUUGACAUCAAGGGAUGGCCCUGAGCUGGGGAAGAGGUGGGUGAGCAGUGAGGAGGGACUGCACUUCCAGGCUGUGGUCUGCAGGCUGUCCAGGUGCCAGAGCCCAGAGUGCAGCGUCUUGGGCUGUGCAGGAGCAGCCGCAGCACAGGGCUGUCCCACCCUGACUGCUUUGCUCUGUCUCGGGAAUUCCAUGGUCUCUGUGGCUGCCUUAAUGCCUAAGGAAGGAUAAGAGAUAAGAGGAACAGGAGGAGGCAGGACAGUGCUUUACCUGUAAGCACAGCAGUGGAGACUCUAUACUGGCAGCCCAGCAGGCAUGAGGGCUCCAGGACCUAUACGACUACUCAGGGCAGCCUCUUUAAUUUAUUAAUUGUCUCAUUGCUUCUGGAAGUAAUGCUACCAGUCAGCCCAUCCACCCAUCUGAACACCCAAGCCUCUGUACCAGAGUCUCCUCUGCUCCUGGCCAGGAAAGGGAGAGGAGGGAGGAAGAGCUCCUGCCAACACCUUACAGACUGGAAGCAGCAGCACAGUGCUACAAUCCCUGCACACACCUGCCCUGCAUCAGACCCAGUGGGGCAGGAGCAAGGUGGGCACAGCACACCUGAGCCGUGCUUCCCUGCAGCCAAGGAGGACUUAUUUUUAUUCCAGUGCAGCCGCAAGCCAGGGAGCUGCUACAGUUCUGCAAAAUGAGGAGCCAAGCAUUGCAGCGCCUGUUCAGAUUUACCAACUCCAUCACUCACAUUCCCCACAGGGGCCAAUAAGGCUCCACAGUCACGCUCUAGCACUGAGUGCUGGCUGCACAGUGAUUUACUGUGCUCUUCUCCCUGUGCCUUGUGCACCUUCAGAGUGCUGCCAUGAGUUUGGGUUGAUUGG